UACGUAGGGUGCAAGCGUUAAUCGGAAUUACUGGGCGUAAAGCGUGCGCAGGCGGUUUUGUAAGACAGGUGUGAAAUCCCCGGGCUUAACCUGGGAACUGCAUUUGUGACUGCAAGGCUGGAGUGCGGCAGAGGGGGAUGGAAUUCCGCGUGUAGCAGUGAAAUGCGUAGAUAUGCGGAGGAACACCGAUGGCGAAGGCAAUCCCCUGGGCCUGCACUGACGCUCAUGCACGAAAGCGUGGGGAGCAACAGG
rnacentral:rRNA from 1 species